UACGUAGGGUGCAAGCGUUGUCCGGAAUUAUUGGGCGUAAAGAGCUUGUAGGCGGUUUGUCGCGUCUGCUGUGAAAUUUCGGGGCUCAACCCCGAACUUGCAGUGGGUACCGGCAGACUAGAGUGUGGUAGGGGAGACUGGAAUUCCUGGUGUAGCGGUGAAAUGCGCAGAUAUCAGGAGGAACACCGGUGGCGAAGGCGGGUCUCUGGGCAGUAACUGACGCUGAGGAGCGAAAGCGUGGGGAGCGAACAGG
rnacentral:rRNA from 1 species